AGGUCAAUCACAAGUUGGACAAUCAACCACCAAACCAACGACAAAUAACUAGAUUGGGCGGCCAGACAACAAAAUAGACGGUCAAAUUACAAACUAGAAAUCCAGACACCAUGUUAGACAAUCAAACAACAAAUUUGAUGAUGAAUAAGCAAAAUGAAUGAUCUAAACAGGAUCAAAGUAGAUCAACUUCAAAACUAUUUUACCUAAGAUUAAAGCAUAAUUAAUCAUGUUUGGCUUGUAAUUAGGUCAACCUUAAUCAAAAGUCUAUUACAAAAUCAAAAG
rnacentral:lncRNA from 1 species